AAUGGGGGGCGCGCCAGUAGCUGAAGAAGAAAAUGGUGCAUGAGACAAAGCCCACCACCGAAGGCCCAAUUUAUAAACGAAUCUAAUGGCCACAUGAAAGGUCAAAGGUCAGCAAGAUGAAGCUUCCAAGUUCCAACGCAUGUGGGGACUGUCAUUUGCAGUUACUGUGCAACGGAUAAUAAGGAAUUUACAGCUGGCAUUGAUGGCAUGGAUUCAAACUGGUCAAAGGCAGUGAAGCGGCAUUGGCUAUUUUGGGCAUGUGACAAAUGAUUUAAACCAAUGGAAUAAGGAUGAAGCAUCUUCUCUCUGCCUUAGUCAAAAAAAACCACCCCAACGUUAUCCCCUCCGUCGCGCCGGCAACCGUUUUCAGUGGCGGAGGCGAACCUAAACACCAAAUAAGGGACCUAUCUGAACCCUCUCCAUGCCCUGAGUCUGAAAAUAACCAUGAAACAACCUAAAUCUCUCUGGUUUACUCCAAUCGAGCGAAACAAUCUAAGAACCCUAACCGGUAAAUCAAGAAAUUAAACUCUCAAGACCUUGAAUCAACAUCUCAAAUAUGAGGGCUUAGUUUCCUUGCAAUGAAACCUUCAUCUUGAGAUCAAGAAUGAAGCAAACGGUAUUAGAGGUUGCAUCUCACCGGCGGCACCGAAGUCAGAUUAUGGAUGUGAAUUGUAACAUAUGAAAGAGGUUGUGAGGAUGAUGCUCGGUCUCAGAUCGUGCCCCGUCGCAUGAUAGUUGUGGAUUUUGAGUUGUUUAAGUGCAUGAUUAGGUUAUAUCGCUACUGUUUGGAUGCUUUGGUGUAGGCUUAAUGUGCAUGAAACUUGUUGCAGGUUUUCAUCUACAAUGUGAGGUUUUGGUCACUUUAAAUGUUUGAACUAUUUUGGUGAUGAUGCUAUGCUUUGAUUGUUGAUGAGUGUGAAUUGUAGGGCAUGCAUAAACAUGACUUCAAGACAAGGUUCUAUGCAAAUUUACAAGGUGCGGAAAAUGCAUUCAAGGCAUGACCAAAAUCAAACUUGUUGCAAAAGUCAAGUCUCUUGUUCAUGAAUAAAAUUAUCAUGGGAUCUCAUGGAAUAAUGAAAGGAUGAAUAUGUAAUUAGCAUUAGGGUUUAGGUCAUAAAAAAAUAGGUUGGUUAACCAAAAAUCAACUCAUGUAAAAAUUAUAAUUUUUUUGUAUGGAUCAUGUAAAUGACAAUUAUAAUAAUUACAUGUAUGAAUGGAGAAUACUUUAAAUAGAAAUGGCUCUUUUAUGAUUCAAUA